rnacentral:rRNA from 1 species
UUCCGGUUGAUCCUGCCGGAGGCGACCGCUUUUGGAGUUCGAUUAAGCCAUGCGAGUAGAAUGAAUUAGAUCAUUGCGAACUGCUCAGUAACACGUGGAUAACCUGCCCUAUGCUCUGGGAUAACCUUGGGAAACUGAGAAUAAUACCGGAUAGAUCACAACGCCUGGAACGGUGUGUGGUUGAAAGGUCACGGCAUAGGAUGGGUCUGCGGCGUAUCAGGUCGUAGGGGGUGUAAUGGACCUCCUAGCCAUCGACGCGUACGGGUUGUGGGAGCAAUAGCCCGGAGAUGGAUUCUGAGACACGAAUCCAGACCCUACGGGGUGCAGCAGGCGCGAAAACUUCACACUGCAGGAAACUGUGAUGAGGGAACUCCAAGUGACUACACAUUUGUGUAGCUCUUUUCUUAACUAUUAAUCGGUUUGGGAAUAAGGGCUGGGAAAGACCGGUGCCAGCCGCCGCGGUAAUACCGGCGCCUCAAGUGGUAGUCGCUUUUAUUGGGCCUAAAACGUCCGUAGCCGGUCUGAUACAUUCGUGGGUAAAUCAACCAGCUCAACUGGUUGAAUUCUGCGAGGACGGUCAGACUUGGGACCGGGAGAGGUGUGGGGUACGCUCAGGGUAGGGGUAAAAUCCUGUCAUCCUGAGCGGACCACCUGUUGCGAAGGCGCCACACUAGAACGGAUCCGACGGUCAGGGACGAAGCCUAGGGGCACGAACCGGAUUAGAUACCCGGGUAGUCCUAGGUGUAAACGCUGUGGACUUGAUGUUGGGGGUGCUCCGAGCACUCUCAGUGUCGAAGCGAAGGUGAUAAGUCCACUGCCCGGGAAGUACGGUCGCAAGGCUGAAACUUAAAGGAAUUGGCGGGGGAGCACCGCAACCUGAGGAUUGUGCGGUUUAAUUGGAUUCAACGCCGGA